CAGCCGCCACGGGAAUACGUAGGUGGCAAGCGUUGUCCGGAAUUAUUGGGCGUAGAGGGCUCGCAGGCGGUUUCUUAAGUCUGAUGUGAAAGCCCCCGGCUCAACCGGGGAGGGUCAUUGGAAACUGGGAAACUUGAGUGCAGAAGAGGAGAGUGGAAUUCCACGUGUAGCGGUGAAAUGCGUAGAGAUGUGGAGGAACACCAGUGGCGAAGGCGACUCUCUGGUCUGUAACUGACGCUGAGGAGCGAAAGCGUGGGGAGCGAACAGGAUUAGAUACCCCUGUAGUCCCUGUCUCUUAUAC
rnacentral:rRNA from 1 species